CACACACACACACAGGGGAAGGUGUUUGAUAAGCGAGGCUGUGAGUUACUGAGUAACUAACACUCUGUUGGGUAACAGGUUGGGGGUUCAGAUCCCCUCUCUGCUGGGGGCAAGGGUUGGGGGUUUGAUUUCCUUCGGGGCGGCUCGCGCUGACAAUAAGCUAUUAUUAAGCGGCUGAUUAACUUUUGUUGAGAGACAUUCAUCAAAACACCACUUUGCAAAUGUUUUGAUGUAAAUAGUGUAACGAGUGAGGUCAGAAUGAGAUGUGGAAAUCAUUCGCACGCGUCCCCAGAGUUGCGUUUGACCUCGUAGUUUGUUUGGAUGCAUCUUUUGAACCUUUUCGUUGUGUAACUCUCCUUCUGUAUCUGAGUUUAGUGGCAGUGCUCAGUCGUCAGGUGACUGCAGGUCCUGUGGAGGCGUCUGCACCCUGCUCCUUCACCUUUUCACCUCCUGUCGCCUCAGUCAUGCUGCAGUUGUCCCGAUUGAUUUUCUCAGGAAGUCCUACUCAAGUUUUGUCAUUCAGUGUGAUCUGUGCUGUGGAAACUGAGGCUCUAAGCACUUCAGGGUUUCUCACAAAAAGUCUAGAAAAUGAGCAUCAUGUCCCACAAACGAUCAGCAACCAGUCCAGGCUGGGAUUUAAAUUCUGGUUAAAUGUUCCAGUCUCUGGCUUUAUUGUUAGCCGAGUCCUGCGGUAGCUAGCAGGUCUUGGAUUUCAUUUUGAUUACUUGCGAAUAACUGUUUUCCUCUGAGUGUUAUUACAGAUGAGAUCCUGUCAGGAACCUGGAACAACAGCAGUAACAGUUUGGUGUUUGCAGCAUGUGACGGAUAAACUCAUCGUCUGCACAGCUUUAUUUAUAUUUGUAAUUUCCCGUCCAUUUAUGGAUCGUCUGACGCUCUUUUUUGAAUAUAUUCCAAGAUCAAUAUUUCCAGACGAGUAGCUCAAGACUUGUAAUGUUUAAUCAUCAAAUUUCCAAAGAAUAUCCAUCUGUGUUUUCUUCUGUCGGUCAAAUUUAAAUGUUUUUUCCUCUUGAAAACAAAUUCAAGAUUUUUCUCCUCUUGCAAGUUGUUUCCUCCUGCAACACUUACGCUAACAUGUUGCCCCAUUCAUUAAAAAGCGACUGGAGCUGAAAUCAAACAUGCUAACGCUACGUAUGAGUGAGCACUCGACCGAUUCAAGCACCAGACGAGCUGACAUGAGACUCUGAAACACGAGGAUUUCUGGGGAAACAUCAAGAAACAUCUCGUGCCACGACGAGCUGAACCGAUACUGCCGUGAAAGCAGAUUUGAAUAUCUCUGCUCGCCUCCUCCUCCUCCUGUCGUCUCCUCAGAUGUUAUGAUGUACCGCCAGUCUGUAAAACAUGUUGCUCUUUGAAGCAGUGUGUUAAACUUGGUGAACAGCGGUCAGGAAUGCCCCGACAAGCUCGUAAAAGAAAUGACAUCAAGCUCCGCGAGACGCUGACAAACAGGUCGAACCUCCCGACUCACGCAGCGUCCAGUCAGGAAUGGAUGGAUGGAUGAAGAAGACACGAGACAGCAGAGGAGGAGGUGUUUGUGAAAAAACAACCUGAGGAGUUAAAAUCACCUGACAGAUCAUUCACAGGAUGACGUAAUAUGUUUAUUAUGUGUUGAUAACACCGUCGCUCAUAAAUAAAAGCAGUUAUGGGUUUGUAAACCGAGAUGAGGCCUUGUUCUCGCUCCAGGUCCCGCGGCGGUAUUGAUAACAGUCUGCAGGACGCGUGUCGCAGAAAUCAGCUGUGUUUAGGGUUUGUUUUUAACCAGAACUGACUAUUGAUCGCUGGUGAAACACAGACAUCACGUGAUACCAACGGCAUUUAUACUGUUGGAACCAUGUCAGUCGUUUGGCAUCUGACAAACACUGUAAAAAUGAUUCAUUCAGCAUCAUUUUAAUGUUUGUUUUUUUACAUUUAUUGUGCAACAUGCAACAAGUUCUGUACAUGUAGUAGUUUCUAAAUAUGAUUAGUUUACAUUAAAUGUUGAUUCAACACGA